UACGUAGGGGGCAAGCGUUGUCCGGAUUUAUUGGGCGUAAAGAGCGUGUAGGCGGUUUGGUAGGUCCGCUGUGAAAACUCGAGGCUCAACCUCGAGACGCCGGUGGAAACCAUCAGACUAGAGUCCGGAAGAGGAGAGUGGAAUCCUGGUGUAGCGGUGAAAUGCGCAGAUAUCAGGAAGAACACCCGUGGCUAAGGCGGCUCUCUAGUACGGUACU
rnacentral:rRNA from 1 species